rnacentral:rRNA from 1 species
UACGGGGGGGGCAAGCGUUGUUCGGAAUUACUGGGCGUAAAGGGCGCGUAGGCGGCCUUCUAAGUCGGACGUGAAAUCCCCAGGCUUAACUUGGGAACUGCGUCCGAUACUGGAAGGCUCGAGUGCGGGAGAGGGAUGUGGAAUUCCAGGUGUAGCGGUGAAAUGCGUAGAUAUCUGGAGGAACACCGGUGGCGAAGGCGGCAUCCUGGACCGACACUGACGCUGAGGCGCGAAAGCCAGGGGAGCAAACGGG